CUCCCUGCCCUUUAGCAGAUGUUUGCGUCUCCCUUUACACUUUCCUGUUUGUGCACAGUACUCUCUCUUCCUUAUGCACCUACAAGACCCAAACUUCUCUCACAGUCAUAAGAGUGCCAGAAGACAUUUUAAAGUUAAAACAUGGGUCUGAAUUCCAGAAGAAGGAAGUGAUCUGGGGAGACAAAGGUUUCUAUUUCUCUUGCAUCUUUUUCCAAAUUCACCUUGGAACUCCCAUCUUGUCAAAUUCAAUUAAAAUAAUUCAGUUUCAAGGCUUAUUGGAAGCCUCAGUGCUGCUACAUGCAGCAGACUGUGCAUAGACCAGAGGCACUCAGCUUCUAGAGUUUAUUUACAAGGCUCUCAAAUGUUGACACUGCA